UCCAUCCCCCCAAUCUGCAAGUCUGACUGCCAGACCUGGGAGACCUUGCCACUCUACUCCUUUUCAAAGAAAGGCCUUACCUUGAUUCCAUGUGUUUCAGAACCAGCUGUGUCAUCUACAAGAGAAGGUCAGAGUUAAGCCUGGACAAAGAGUCAAAGGUUAUCAAAUACAUUUGGGAAGCCCUGUGAUCAAAUGAACCAAAACUGAAAGAUCAACAUGUAAAAUAAUAUGAAAGAUUUUAGUGCAUCCACCCCCUCUCUUAGGUUGAGAGCAACUGACGUCCCUCUGGGAAGGCAGCCCUCCACAGCCAGUCCCUGCUUCCAAGAUGAGACUGAGCCUCCUGCUGCUGCCCAGCUACGAUCUCGAUGCAUGAAAUCGGGGAUCACGCCUGAUUCACUGCUGCGGGUCCACUGGCCUAAUGGAAAGGUCACAAGGGCUGCCACAUGCGGUUGAUACUUCCAUGUGCUGAGCCGGGUGCCCAGGGGUGGGCUGGGGGCUGAAAGCCCAGGGUUCACUCACAAGCCAUUUAGAGGGCUCUCGCCAUUCAGAGGAAAGGAAAACAUUGUGUUCACACAAAAGUACCAUCUACUCACCAAGCAGUGAGUCGUGUCCAUUCUUAAGUAGCCCCUUUCCCGAACUGCCCCAAAAGGGUGAUUUUUUAAUUCAAUCAAGGGCACAGUAUAGGACAGCCUUGCACUAGUCAUAUCUAUAAAUUCUUACACUGAAUGGCACCAGACACAACACUUAGUCCAGUCCUUUUUUUUAUAAUCCUCACCUGAGAACAGGCUUAUUGAUUUUAGAGAGAGGGAAAAGGAGGGAAAGAAACAUUGAUGUGAGAAAGAAAUAUUGAUCAGUUGCCUCACCUGUGCACCCUGACCAGGGACUUAACCCAAAACCUGGCUGUGUGCCCUGACCCGGAAUUGAGCCCAUCACCUUCCAGUUUACAGGAUGGCAUUCUAAUCAACUGAGCUCCAUUGGCCAGGGCUUAGCCCAACACUUUUAAUGCAGAUGAAGAAUCUGAAAUUUAAGGAAGUUAAAUGCAUCCCAGCACUGUCCAACUAACUAGUAGCUGAGCUGGGGUCAGAAAUAUACAUGCAUGUGAACUUCAGGUCAACAAACACAAGGAGAGGACCCAACCCCGCCCCCAGAAUUUAUUUAUAAAAAAUUGUGUAUUUAUUCUUACAUGUCUAAACUUCGGUCACAUUCAAAGCACUCUCCAUUUGAUGCAAUGCACCUAUUGAGACACUUUUUCUACUGUUCAAAACAGUUUUUGAAUUUGUCCAUUUUGAUGCCUUUUUUUGUUUCACCUUUUCCAUUUUGGCAAAAUGUUUCCCUUUGAGGACCUUUUUCAUCAGGGAAACUAACAAACUAAAAAAGUCACCUGGGGCAAGAUCAGGUAAAUAGGGAGGGUGGGGCAUGGGUGUCAUGCCAUUUUUGAUUAAACACUGCUGAACACCCAAGCACAGUGAGGACUCGUAAAUGGUCUAUCACGAAACAGGCAUCGAAAGAGUCUUUUAAAAAAAUUCACUGAAGAAGAAUGCAGCCUCUCACAACA